CGUAACCUAACUUUACCGUAUUCUUUCUGUUCCAUUCCAUUUUCUUUCUCUCUCACUCGCUGUCUUUCUUUCAUUGUCUGUUUCAUUCAUUGCCUUUCUUUGUCUUUCAUUAAUUGAUUCAUUUUCUUUUGUUUUCUUUCUCCAUCUCAUCUAUUCGUGUUUUCACUCACUCUUUCUUUUUAAUUUAUUCACCUAUUUUUAUUUUUUUCCACAUUCUUUCUCCUUUUCAGUCCCUGUGGCGUAAUCCGUCUUCAGUGACUUCGGCAUCGAAAGCUUGAUCAUACAAUUUUUAUUUUCGUUCAGAUUGAAAGGGUACCGCUCUAAAUAACCUACUCCAGGACAUUUCUGUAGUCACCCGUAAAUAAAACCAGCUGAGUUCGAAAAAUCCAGCAGAUCCGAGGAAAUAUCAGUCUAUUCUAAAUAUAUAAAAGCAGCAUCAGCGAAUAUCUUGCAGAAGAAACGGGUGCAUUGAGGUAGUAGUGGCUAUCGUAAGCAAUAAUGUUUACGGUUUGCAAUAGAAGAAGAGGUGUAGAGAGAAGGCAUGAAUGAAUAAAUGAGUGAUAGAAAGAAACAAAGGGAGGGGGGAGAGAAAGAGAAUAUGAGCAUAAAUGAAUGAAUGCAAAAGAGAGGAGACAUGACUGGGUGAAUAAAAGAGAAAGAGAAAAAGAUAAAGAGUGAAUAAACGAAUGCGAGACAGAUAGAGAAAUGAAGAAAGAGAGAAAUUUAAUAAGAUGGAGAGAAAAAAAGAGAGUAUGACUCAAGGAAUAAGAGUGAAGAAAUAAACGAGAAAAUAAAAUAGAUAAACAUAGAUAAUCAGAGACGCAAAUAAGUAGGUAGAGAAAAUUGCUAGAGUAAGUUACUUGCCUCUACUGACGUCUCGUAUUUUCCCUGAAAUUCGAAUUUGUUUAGGCGGUACUUGAGAGGUAGAUGACGUCAAAACUACUUAUCAGAUUAAAGUUUGUAUUUACCAUACGACACGAAAGAGUAAGUUUUGGUGAAAAAGGAAGAAUUAUCAGGGUAAAUUGUUCUCCAAGUAUCAAGAAUGUCGGAAGAAUACUUAUCUUUUGGCCAAGAGCCCAGAGGAUAUAACAGUGACAGAUGGCAAGGACAAGUCUACUGCAUUUGAACUGAAACUUUAUAAAAGCACUAGAAUCAAGGUAAUGACAACAAAUCAAAGAAAAUGAAUAAGAAAAAAAAAUGCAUUUCAUCUGGCAACGUGUACCUUACGCCGCGGAUACUCACUCAAAAUAUGCCCAUCUAUGGAGGGUUUGCGACCACAUGUAGGCCACCUUAGAAUGCCUAAGUUUGUUCUUCGUAUUUUACUUGGUGUUGGAUGGACUGGAAAACAAUAUCUUCAUGAAGCCCAUGGAAUCCAUUAUCACAAUCGGAAAGCAGUGGCAUAGAUAAGCAGAAAACAGCUGUGCAAGUAUCUGAAAAGGACGUUGCCUUUUUCAUCAGCCAAGAGUUUUUUGAACGGAUUUUGGAAGCAG